UACGAAGGGGGCGAGCGUUGUUCGGAUUUACUGGGCGUAAAGGGCGCGCAGGCGGCAGACCAAGUCAGGCGUGAAAGCCCCGGGCUUAACCUGGGAGGUGCGUCUGGGACUGGUAUGCUAGAGUUCGGGAGAGGAGAGUGGAAUUCCCAGUGUAGAGGUGAAAUUCGUAGAUAUUGGGAAGAACACCGGUGGCGAAGGCGGCUCUCUGGACCGAGACUGACGCUGAGACGCGAAAGCGUGGGGAGCGAACAGG
rnacentral:rRNA from 1 species